rnacentral:rRNA from 1 species
UACCAGCACCCCGAGUGGUCGGGACGAUUAUUGGGCCUAAAGCAUCCGUAGCCGGCCUUACAAGUCCCCCGUUAAAUCCAACUGCUUAACAGAUGGGCUGCGGAGGAUACUAUAAGACUAGGAGGCAGGAGAGGCAAGCGGUACUCAGUGGGUAGGGGUAAAAUCCUGUAAUCCUCCGGGGACGACCAGUGGCGAAGGCGCUACACUAGAACGGCUCUGACAGUGAGGGACGAAGCCCUGGGGCGCAAACCGG